AAAAGUGGCAAGGAGUUGCUCAGUUCUCGUGUCUUCCAAGAACUUCCAUGAACUGUGUUAUCUUUUUGGCCAGUUGUGCCGAAAACCCCUGUGUCAGGAUGGAUAGAAAGGGUCGGUGAAAGUUUCGUUCAAGAUGUACAAGUCGCUGCGUAGCUCUAACGGGUCGAUGAUGAAGUCCUCCGUCCGGGUAGAAAUUUGCAUCAGGCAAGUCAGCCCCAAGAAACUCCGAUAGGAAUGGUGCUACGGGAGAGAAACCAACGUAAAAGAAAAAGAAGCCGCACCAAAAAAAAAGAAGAAAGAAAGAGAGGCUCACCUCCAAAUCCAAAGCAAACUCUUUGCAGCCCACCAACUUCUCGUUCAAGUCGACCAACUCCUCCAAGGUGGAAAU